rnacentral:rRNA from 1 species
GACGAACGCUGGCGGCGUGCUUAACACAUGCAAGUCGAACGGCAAGGCCUCUUUCGGGGGGUACUCGAGUGGCGAACGGGCGAGUAACACGUGAGUAACCUGCCCUUGACUUUUGGAUAACUUCAGGAAACUGGGGCUAAUACCGGAUAGGAGCUCCUGCUGCAUGGUGGGGGUUGGAAAGUUUCGGCGGUUGGGGAUGGACUCGCGGCUUAUCGGCUUGUUGGUGGGGUAGUGGCUUACCACGGCUUUGACGGGUAGCCGGCCUGAGAGGGUGACCGGCCACAUUGAGACUGAGAGACGGCCCAGACUCCGACGAGAGGCAGCAGUGGGGAAUAUUGCACAAUGGGUGGAAGCCUGAUGCAGCAACGCCGUGUGCGGGAUGACGGCUUUCGGGGUGAAAACCGCUUGCGCUCAUGACGAAGCUUUGUGUGACGGUAGUGGGUAAAGAAGCACCGGCUAACUACGUG